UACGUAGGGCGCAAGCGUUGUCCGGAAUUAUUGGGCGUAAAGAGCUCGUAGGUGGUUUGUCGCGUUGUUCGUGAAAACUCACAGCUUAACUGUGGGCGUGCGGGCGAUACGGGCAGACUGGAGUACUGCAGGGGAGACUGGAAUUCCUGGUGUAGCGGUGGAAUGCGCAGAUAUCAGGAGGAACACCGGUGGCGAAGGCGGGUCUCUGGGCAGUAACUGACGCUGAGGAGCGAAAGCGUGGGGAGCAAACAGG
rnacentral:rRNA from 1 species